rfam:Marinobacterium sp. ST58-10, complete genome.
UCCACCGCGAGGUGGAAUCUGAAGGAAGCCGAAGGCAAAGCACUGGCCCGACGAACAGAAAUCGCAUAGGAGGCGGUCGCCGUGGGUGAGGAGGCAAUUAUCUUCAAAGCCCCAUUCUUGCACGGAAACGGUGGACGUAAAUGCGGCGGGUAUAAGUGUGAAGGUCACGUGU